AGCAGCCGCGGUAAUUCCAGCUCCAAUAGCGUAUAUUAAAGUUGUUGCAGUUAAAAAGCUCGUAGUUGAAUUUCGGGAUUAAUAUGUUGGUCGUGCCUUGGUACGUACUGGCAUUAUUGAUUCCUACCUUCUGAAGAACCUCGAUGUCAUUAAUUUGGUGUCUUGGGGAAUCAGGACCGUUACUUUGAAAAAAUUAGAGUGUUUAAAGCAGGCUCGCGCUUGAAUACAUUAGCAUGGAAUAAUGAAAUAGGACGUUUGAUUCUAUUUUGUUGGUUUCUAGGAUCGACGUAAUGAUUAAUAGGGAUAGUUGGGGGCAUUAGUAUUCAAUUGUCAGAGGUGAAAUUCUUGGAUUUAUUGAAGACUGACUACUGCGAAAGCAUUUGCCAAGGAUGUUUUCAUUAAUCAAGAACGAAAGUUAGGGGAUCGAAGACGAUCAGAUACCGUCGUAGUCUUAACCNUAAACUAUGCCGACUAGGGAUCGGAUGAUGUUAAUUUUUAAUGA
rnacentral:rRNA from 1 species